rnacentral:lncRNA from 1 species
UGCAUUGCAAAAUGGGGACCAGAACACUAACCCCAUACCCUGUUGGGAAUAUUAAAUAUGAAUGAGAAUGUCUUUGUAAAUUCCAAACUGAUGCAUUUAUGUAUUAUGAAGAAUUAUAAUUGUUCAUUUAAAAUUCUUAGUUAUACAGAUGUUAAAAAAUUAUAACCUCAUAUAUUUACAUCUAUCAGGAGCCUUGAAAUUGGGAUUUACUGUCCCAAAAUUAUCCAGAGGUAAUCAUUAUAUUUUAUCCCAUAUUGUUAUGGACUUAUUUUAUAUACAAAUCUAUUUUUUCUCCAAUAUCAUCAGCCUCGAAUAGAACAUUUCCACUGAACUUGCAAAAAUUUCAACACUGUUAUUCAUUAAAACAAGCACCUUUUUGAGCUCCCUUCUUUUAGAUAUUUCCUUUUUACUCUUCUUCAGAAGCAAGCUUCUUUAAACAGUGGUCUAAAACUUUUUUCUGCAGCUUUACUUCAUAUUCACUAGUCAUACCAUUAUAUUCCUGUGCUCUGUUCUGCGCCAGUUUCACAGAUGUCUCUCUUUCUAAAGCACAUAUGAAAUUCUGUUUUCUAAAUUUGACAGACACAAACCCUAAAUUAGUGCAACCCUAAGAAGAAUCUCUCAGUGUGGCCACUUCUUCAUUUUAUUAUCAUUCCAUUCCAUGUCUCUACUGUUUUGUUUUUCUUUUCCUGUUAUUUCUUCUCAACUCCCCCAUAAAUUCUUCUUUCUUUCUUCUUCUGCCCCUGAAAGGUUAGCAUUUUCUAAGGUCUUUUUUUUAGCCUUCUUCUCCUCCCUGCCAAUGGGCAGCAGUAGUGCCAGACGGAAAGUGAGGCUGGUGUGUUCAUUCCUUACAUCCCUCUUUGCAAGAUCUAACUUCCCAGGUCCCUCCUGGUCUAGGGCUGUCAUUGCUCUCCAAUGUUGCUAGCCCCAGGAUGCUUCUUGUAUCUCUUAGUUUAGCAGGGCCAGUCAACUUUAGAUAAAUUAUACUGCAGUUAAAAACCUUCCUAUAAUCUCAGUGACAGUCAAUAGACUUAAUUUAUUACCUCUUUUACAUACCUAGAGUAGGUCAGCUCAAAAAUUUAGGCUGAUGAAUAUCUAAGAACUUGCUUGGGGAGAGAAUAAAAGAGAAGGUGGCAGAUCAGAUGGCAAUUCUUAAAUCUUCUUAAAAGCAGCACAUAUCACUUCCCCCACAAUCCAUUGGCUGAAAUAAGUCAUAUGGUCAGGUCUGAAAUGUAUGAUGUAAACAGUUUAAUUGUCUCUCAAUGAGGAGGCUGGUGUGGCAGACAGACUCUAAAACAGUUCCCAAUUAUUCCCUCCUUUGAUAUUCACCCCUUGUACAAUCUCCUUGAAUGUGGACAGGAACUGUGGCCUGCUUCUAACCAACAGACUAUAGCAAAGGUGAUGGGGUGUCACUCUGUGACUACAUUACGUAAGAUUAUAUCCUGUGUCUUACUAGGACUUCCUCUUCCUUGCUAAUUUUGAUGACAUAUUCUGUUAUGUUGAGAGCUACACUAUGGAAAAUAAGUGCCACAUGGCAAGGAACUGAGGGUGGCUUCAACUCACAACCAACAAGGAAAAAACUCUUGAAAAAAUGAAUUCUGCCAAUAAUGUGAGUGAGCUUGGAAGCAGAUCCUUUUCCACUUGAACAUUCAGAUGAGACCACACCCCUGGCUGGGAACUUCAUCAUAGCCCAUGAGAGACAUUGAAUCAAAAGACUCAGCCCAAUUGUACCUGGGCUUCUCAUCCACAUAAUCUGAUCCAGCCCCCAAAGAAGAGGUAUGAUUGUCCUGAAACUACGAUACUUUGAAGGAACUCUGAGAGAGCCACUUGGAGAGGCUACAUGAGGGAGUACAAAAGGGCUCUAAAUGACAGCCCCAUGUAAAAUCCCAGCCUAUAGCAAGGACCAACUGCCACCAUCGUACACAUUCCAAAUCAGUUGAACCUCCAGUGAGCCAUCUUGGAUAUUUCAAACCACUGGAGCCUUCAGGUGACUGAGGUUAUAGCUCCCACCACAUAGAGAACUACCUAGGUGAGGCCAACUAAAUCACAGACUCAUGAACAGCAAUAAAUACUUGUUACUGAUUGAAGCCAUUCAGUUAUGGGUGUCUGAUACCAUCCACUGAGCAAUCUUAAAA